rnacentral:lncRNA from 1 species
AUAAAAGACAUCCUCUCCAGCAUUGAACAGAGCCGAGUUGAUGGAAUUGAAGUAGGCCUAUUCAAUCGAGCGUCAUCUUUUUCGUAGGGACGCGAACUUUUCCCAAAUCGUUCAGGAACCAGAAGCACUUUCCUCCAUGGCACCUGUACGUUGAUGUUUCUUAUUCCUCUUUUUGGCAACAGCACUUUUAUUGUUUCAAGAAAUGUCGUUGCAUUCCAAAUAGAGAAAACUACACUUUGGAAAGAAUUGUACAGAACAAAGCUAGCCAGUUCCAUUUUUUAAAAACCUCUCUGAAGUAAGGCCAGAACAAUUAUCUAAUCGAGUGGUGUAUGUGAUUUACUGUGAGCCCCCCUGCAAGGCACCAGCCCAACUAGCUCCAGGUACCCUGUCUCUGAGGUGAUCUGAUCUGACUAGGGUUGCAAUGAUCCCUACGCGUGCUGAUCGAGACAUCAGCAGCCGAGAAGAAAGAUCGUAUAGCGCCGAUCGAGUGAAGCCACAUUCGAACAUCCAGAGACUUGCUGGUAGGAGCAGGUGGUACCCAUGGGGAGGCCGGGUCAGAGUGUGGACCAUUGGCAGAGGGGAGCCCUGGCAGCUAGGAUAGUGUGACACCGGGCUAUACCCAGAACAGACCCUGUGCCACAGCCGGUCUGGACUACCGAGAGGUGGACAUGGAGAUCACAUUCUGGAAGCAAGUACAUGUAGCAAGUCUGAAGUUUUUCUCACUGGCAGACUUCAUAGGAGGGGUACGCAUCACCCAGGGCCAAAGCGACAGGUGGACUGAAGUGCCACCCCUUCUCCCCAGAUGCCUAUGAAUCCACCAGAAGUCCUCGAAAAGCCAUCCAGUCACAUGCUAUUCAACUACAUGCAAGCUGUCACACACAGGCAUCCCCUUUGCAAUGGUUCACCUCACGCUUGUGCUAGGUCUUGUGAAAGGGCUCUUGAUGGAGUCGACUUCAACACCAGUUUCUUCUACAUCUUUUUCAACUUUAAUAUUUCAUUUGCCGCUUCCCCGUGUUCAGGGUUCACUCACUUCACUAUCGUCGUGAGCGACAACUUCAACGGAGUGAUCAGCUUUGAGCGAGAAUCGAAGAUGCCCAGCCCUCUGUUACGCUCACACUCAAAAGAGGGCAGGCUUUCUUUGGUGAAGUCAUACUGAGUCUCCCCAGCCAUCAUUUGCAUUAAAUAAAUUACUCUUUAAGUUUUGCUGAAAAGCAUGACUCAGUUUGAACGUCUGGAAAAGAUAAAGUUUCGUGAGCAGGAAGAUUAUGUCAAUUUCAGGUGAAGUGGCGAGCGACGCACAGUCCAAUUCGGGGACAUCACCAAUGAUGCUGAUCUCUAUACACAACUCGGGGAAGUGGAGGGCAUGGUGACAUGCCCAGCCGACCAGUGACUGUGCACGUUUGUUGUCGGUGGCUACCGGUGGGGCCGUUGUCCACACCCAUCGCGGCAGCCAGCAUCACCCUCGUGGAAGACGAUCGGAUUGUCUGAUAUCUGGGACAACCACUACAGCCCUCUCGUUGGUCUGAGUGACAACAACAUCUACAACAUCCUCCUGGGCAUGGUGGAACAUGGCAGGGCUAGCUAGGGGCCAGGUGACCGAGGAGCAGCUGGCCGUUGUCAUGGAUACCAUUCGGAUGGUCGGUGCUU